UACGAAGGGGGCUAGCGUUGCUCGGAAUCACUGGGCGUAAAGGGUGCGUAGGCGGGUCUUUUAAGUCAGGGGUGAAAUCCUGGAGCUCAACUCCAGAACUGCCUUUGAUACUGAAGAUCUUGAGUCCGGGAGAGGUGAGUGGAACUGCGAGUGUAGAGGUGAAAAUUCGUAGAUAUUCGCAAGAACACCAGUGGCGAAGGCGGCUCACUGGCCCGAUACUGACGCUGAGGCACGAAAGCGUGGGGAGCAAACAGG
rnacentral:rRNA from 1 species